CCUACGGGCGGCAGCAGUAGGGAAUCUUUCACAAUGGGCGAAAGCCUGAUGGAGCAACGCCGCGUGCAGGAUGAAGGCCUUCGGGUUGUAAACUGCUUUUAUCAGCGAGAAAUAUUAUGGUAACUUAUGACUAAGGAUCGGCUAACUACGUGCCAGCAGCCGCGGUCAUACGUAGGAUCCGAGCAUUAUCCGGGGUGACUGGGUGUAAAGAGUUGCGUAGGUGGCAUAAUAAGUAGCUAGUGAAAUCUGGUGGCUCAACCAUUCAGACUAUUAGCUAAACUGUUAAGCUCGAGACCGUUAGGGGUAACUGGAAUUUCUAGUGUAGGAGUGAAAUCCGUAGAUAUUAGAAGGAACACCAAUAGCGUAGGCAAGUUACUGGGACGGUUCUGACACUGAGGCACGAAAGCGUAGGUAGCAAACGGGAUUAGAUACCCUUGUAGUC
rnacentral:rRNA from 1 species